ACAGAGCUGCAGCUUCCGCGUUCAGGUGUGUGUGUCUUGCAGAUGUUGGCAGCUGUGGACAAAACGCUCCAGGGAAGCUUCUUCAUCACGGUUCAUCCGGUUCAAAAGGCAUAAUGAACAUCGCUAACCUGACCGCCAUGUUCUUCGAGGUAGUGAGCCUCUUCUCCGGGAUCGUUGUGACAGACUCUCCUUGCACCAAGGAAAGCACCAGGGAGAAGUACAACGAUUUUCUCCGAAAACAUGUUCUUCAAUAUGCUUUCGAUAGAAAUUCUCUUCCAGCAUGGGAAAGGUAUUUGAGGGACCAGCAGCUGUGGUGCCGAUUCCCCGUACAGUCCUUCUUGGAGAAGAGCCAGAAGGUGGAGGACAUCUGCACCAGUGACCGGCGGGUGCUGAACGGCGGUAACCUGUGUAUCAGCAGGGAAACGAAGGACAUUUAUGAUAUCAUAACCACAAAGACCAGCACCGGCUGCACGAUUCGCCUGGAGAAAGUACAGAAUCUUGUGGUUGUGGCGUGUGACAAGGUUGAUAACAUCUGCCGUCCUGUUCACUAUGAGAAAUACAACCACCAGCAGGGAUCAAACAUUCCCUGCUCACCUCAGCAGGAUUUAUAAGUUCACUUCAGUUUACUUUGAAAAAGAAAGGCAUUAAUGUCAGCUGGAUUCUGAAGUACUCCUUCUUGCUGUCUUUUGUUUUCUGAUUUUUUUUUUUUUUUUGCAAUUCAUGUUGACCAUCAAAUCUAAAACAAAUUAAUAUUCUUUAUUAACACUGCAGGAUGUUUCCCUUUCCAGCAGGGAUGCAGCGAUAUCGAUUCGAGCGUCGGGUCUGAUGCUGCAGCUGCACUCAUACUUAAAGCUCGUGUCCGGAGUUUUGAAAGAAUGAGGUAAGCGGGGCGGGUGCUGCGUUGCAAACUCUCCUCUGCCUGGGCGAGUGUGCGUGCUGUCUGGCUGCGUGCACACAUUGAUUGACAGCAUGACAAAUUGGAAGCACGGAAUCUAUUGGCUGAAGCUGACCACCGCUUUUCCGGAUAACAUGGGCGUCUAUGAGACGAAGGCGGAGCUCAUAAAUACAUUUUUAUAUUGCUUUAUGCUAAUAUUAUAUUAUAUUAUAUUAUAGUAUAGUAUAGUAUCGAACCAGACUGACACAUUUAAGCUCUGUUAGAAAAUGAUACAUACAGUGGAAACGAACAGAAACUCCGGACAGGAGCUUUAAAAACAAUCCCAAAUAAAACCCAAUAAGUUUUCCAGGAUGACGUUCAUCAGCAACAUCGGCUGCAGGGAGACGAGGGAGGACGAGCGAUGUCUGCUGUUUGGACAUUCUUUAAUAUCAAUGACAAUGAAAACAUUAAAGCUAGGGUCGACGAUGUUGUCCAAAAGCACUUUUUGUCAUACUGAGUGAAAUGCUCCUUGCCCCCUGGGAGAAGUCAAUACAUUAUGUGGACGGAAAAAGAU